UGGGGAAUAUUGCGCAAUGGGGGGAACCCUGACGCAGCCAUGCCGCGUGAAUGAAGAAGGCCUUAGGGUUGUAAAGUUCUUUCGGUAUUGAGGAAGGUUGAUGCGUUAAUAGCACAUCAAAUUGACGUUAAAUACAGAAGAAGCACCGGCUAACUCCGUGCCAGCAGCCGCGGUAAUACGGAGGGUGCGAGCGUUAAUCGGAAUAACUGGGCGUAAAGGGCACGCAGGCGGUUAUUUAAGUGAGGUGUGAAAGCCCUGGGCUUAACCUAGGAAUUGCAUUUCAGACUGGGUAACUAGAGUACUUUAGGGAGGGGUAGAAUUCCACGUGUAGCGGUGAAAUGCGUAGAGAUGUGGAGGAAUACCGAAGGCGAAGGCAGCCCCUUGGGAAUGUACUGACGCUCAUGUGCGAAAGCGUGGGGAGCAAACAGGAUUAGAUACCCUGGUAGUCCACGCUGUAAACGCUGUCGAUUUGGGGGUUGGGGUUUAACUCUGGCGCCCGUAGCUAACGUGAUAAAUCGACCGCCUGGGGAGUACGGCCGCAAGGUUA
rnacentral:rRNA from 1 species